rnacentral:rRNA from 1 species
ACGGGUGGUAAUGCCGGAUGCUCCAUCACACCGCAUGGUGUGUUGGGAAAGCCUUUGCGGCAUGGGAUGGGGUCGCGUCCUAUCAGCUUGAUGGCGGGGUAACGGCCCACCAUGGCUUCGACGGGUAGCCGGCCUGAGAGGGCGACCGGCCACAUUGGGACUGAGAUACGGCCCAGACUCCUACGGGAGGCAGCAGUGGGGAAUAUUGCACAAUGGGCGCAAGCCUGAUGCAGCGACGCCGCGUGAGGGAUGGAGGCCUUCGGGUUGUAAACCUCUUUUGUUAGGGAGCAAGGCAUUUUGUGUUGAGUGUACCUUUCGAAUAAGCACCGGCUAACUACGUGCCAGCAGCCGCGGUAAUACGUAGGGUGCAAGCGUUAUCCGGAAUUAUUGGGCGUAAAGGGCUCGUAGGCGGUUCGUCGCGUCCGGUGUGAAAGUCCAUCGCUUAACGGUGGAUCCGCGCCGGGUACGGGCGGGCUUGAGUGCGGUAGGG